rnacentral:rRNA from 1 species
UACAGAGGUCUCAAGCGUUGUUCGGAUUCAUUGGGCGUAAAGGGUGCGUAGGUGGCGCCGUAAGUCGGGUGUGAAAUCUCGGAGCUUAACUCCGAAACUGCAUUCGAUACUGCCGUGCUUGAGGACUGGAGAGGAGACUGGAAUUUACGGUGUAGCGGUGAAAUGCGUAGAUAUCGUAAGGAAGACCAGCGGCGAAGGCGGGUCUCUGGACAGUUCCUGACGCUGAGGCGCGAAGGCCAGGGGAGCAAACGGG